GGACGAAACGGGAUUUGAGUUUUGGCAAGCGUAAAGGGCAAGAAAGGUACCGACGACAGGUUUGCUGAUCCGUCCGCUUAGGAUCUUAUUCUCCUAUUUUGGAGCGCUCUCUUAUCCAGAGCCCAUCUUUUGUGAUGCCUCCGAAAAAGGCGACGGCUGCCCAGAAGAAAAAGGGCGUGGUAGGAGAGACCAGCCGGGCUCAGAAGGGUACUCGGACCCUUGCUCAGAUGAUGCGUGAUAUUGCGUCCCGGCCAGCAGACUCUGCUACGUCUUCAUCAUCAGAGGAGUCUGGGGCAGCUCCACCAGUAGCUCCAGAGGUUCCAGUACCUGAGCCUCCAGCUCCACAGCCAGGGGCUGAGGAUCGGGCUAUGAGAGAUGCGGUCCAGUUGUUGACCAGACUGGUAGCAGGGCAGGUUCAUAGGCACAGACUUGGGGAUGGUCGUGCAGACAGACGUGACAGUUCGAGAGCUCGUGAGUUCCUGACCUGUAAUCCUCCAGAGUUCUUCGGGACAAAGCCCGAGGAGGAUCCUGAGGAGUUUAUCAGGAAGA